CCCGGGUCUUGUACACACCGCCCGUCACACCAUGGGAGCGGGUUCUGCCAGAAGUAGUUAGCCUAACCUCAAGGGGGCGAUUACCACGGCAGGGUUCGUGACUGGGGUG
rnacentral:rRNA from 1 species